CACUUUUAGUGGCUCCUCUUAUACUAUCUAACCCCUAAAUGUUGAAAUCUAUUUUUCCUAUGCAGGUGAUGGGGUUCAGGGCAUGACCCCCCCCCCACCCCGCCCCCCGCAAGAUGCACCACUCUGGACCCAGGCUGAGAGAGCAGCCACCAAACUGAAACUUGCAGGUUGCUGUGACAAAAGGAAGUAAGAUUCUGAAGGGCCUCACACCAGCAAUGAAAAGCUCUAGUCUACCUGGAAGAAUGAAUCCACAGAAUGUGACCUCAUUCUCCCUACUCAGGAUUCUAGUUGGCUCACUUCAGUCAAGUUGCCUUAAACUUUUCUAAAAGUCAAGAACAGUCUGGAAAUACAUAUAUUC
rnacentral:lncRNA from 1 species